AGGAAGAGAAAGAAAGAAAAAAGAAUAAAGGAAUGAACCAGCAAAUGCUUGUGGGCAUGGCCUUCAUACUUUAUAGUCUCAGGCAUAAAAAGCCUUGCAUAGUCUGAACUAACCACAAAGCACAAGAAAUAAUGUUGUGGUUUGCAACAUGAGGAAAUCAGACAAAGAAGUCUCAGAAAACUGAUAUUCUGCUAAAGAAAUCAUUCUUUCAGGACAAACUUACUUAAUGUGUUUGAAUUACUGAAACUAGUAGUCUUCCACCAGCAGCAUCUUAUAAGAAGACAAUACAUGCGUUGUGGAGCACACCCUCAUAGAAGCAGGAGUACGGGGUAUGAGAUAGUGGGUUUCUGGGGGGAUCAGGAAAGGGAUAACCUUUGAAAUGUAAAUAAAUGAAAAAUCCAAUUAAAAAGAGAAAGAAAAAAGAAGAAGGGGAGGGAGAAACCAUAUUUUCUCAACAAGGAAGAAACAUGGACUUAAAACAUAACCCUCCUUAAUUAUAUUUUACCAUUUUAAUCUUUAAUUUUACUUCAUUUUUAGUAUGUAUACCUUAGUAUAAUAGUCAUUGGGUUAUAAGUUAAGUCUUGCUGUAAAAAGACUUUUGUAUCUGUCAUUUCUUUCUCAAAACCUAAUGUUCAAUAUUUUGCCUACUGCCAUCCAUGUCUCUAAUCAUAUUCUUAUGAUUCUUAUUUUACCCACUCUUCCUUUCCCAUUCACUCCCCCACUUUGUCACUUAACUGUUGAUUCCAUUAACUUUAAAAACAAAAAUGAACAAAAUACACUACACUACAGUUUUUUCCAAACUGUACUCAAUGGUACCUCUUCCUGAACUUUACAGGGGAUAAAAAUUAAGGAGAGAAUUAUCUUCUCCUGUAGUUUCCAGUAAGCUACUUCUAAUAAUUAUAUUUGCUUAGGGAAAGGGGAGGGAGGUAAAUACAGGAGAAGUGGGGAAAUAGGUAAACAAGUGAAACAGGUGGAUGGAAUAUUAACUAGUUACC
rnacentral:lncRNA from 1 species